UACAGAGGGUGCGAGCGUUAAUCGGAAUUACUGGGCGUAAAGGGCGCGUAGGCGGUUAAUUAAGUUAGAUGUGAAAUCCCUGGGCUUAACCUAGGAACUGCAUUUAAUACUGAUUAGCUAGAGUGCGGUAGAGGAUAGUGGAAUUUCCGGUGUAGCGGUGAAAUGCGUAGAUAUCGGAAGGAACACCAGUGGCGAAGGCGGCUAUCUGGACUGACACUGACGCUGAGGCGCGAGAGCGUGGGGAGCAAACAGG
rnacentral:rRNA from 1 species